rnacentral:lncRNA from 1 species
CCGCUGCCGCCGCGGCCCGGCCUCGUCCGCUCGCGCAGCUCGCACCAGCUGUCCUCCGUCGAGGCGCAGCAGAUGACGCGAGUGGACUCGGACUCCGGCGAGGCACCGGCCAGGCUGCAUCCAGGCUUUGGUCGGGGCGCUCUGACGGAGAGAGACCGGGCGUUCGCCUCCACGUCUUCACUGCUGGCGCCUCAGGAUCCAUGCCUGCCCCCUCGAGCGCCCCUGAAGCCGAACCCGCCCUUCCACCUCACCCCGGAGCCGUGUCUGCCUCCCAGGCCCAGCUCAAACAUCUUCCCUAUCAGCAGGUCCACGCCAGAGUCCAGCCCGCCCCCCAGACCCGCAGCGGAUUCCGGUUCGCCCUCCAGGACUGCUCCGGAUCCCUGCCGAACCACGGCGGAGCCUGGCCGCUCUCCGCGGCUCGCCGGAGAGCCCCUGCCAUCCUCUUGGCCGACUCCAGAGCCCAGCCCCGCUCACAGGCUUACCCCAGAGCCGGGCCUCCUGCCCAGGGCCUCCCCGGAGGCCAGUCCACCGCCGAGGCCCUCCGCCGACCCGCCGCCGACCUGCCGACCUGCCCUCGUGCCCAGCCCGUCCCCAAGACCCGCUCCGGAGCCGAGUCAGCUGUGCCGCUCGUCCUCGGACCCGCUGCGCGGCGCG